GCCCGUAUAGUUAAAUGGCAUAACACGAAUCUUGUAAAUUUGAGUUUUUGGUUCGAUUCCAGAUAUGGGCA
rnacentral:tRNA from 1 species